UCUAUUUAUCUCAAGGAUUAGGGUUUUCGGAUUGAUACUCAAGAGCUCAAUGGGGAAAAUUUCCAGAAGCGCUUUUGUCCGCUCAGAAACGAGUUGUCUUGUUCGAUGCUAUCUUCCGGAAAGUAAAACAUUGAAGAUAUGGAUUGCAACUUCCCCAAGAAUCUCAUCCGACACACCGUUAAAAUUGUUAUCGAGAAACCAACAGUUCUUCAUAUUAGCAUUAUCCUGAACUGAACUGGAAGUUUAAACGGCGGUGGCGGUAGAGUGAAUGAUGAAGAGAUGAGGAAGCCCUUAUCUGCUACUACACUUGAAUGAUGAUGUCGAACUAUUUGCUCUAUGAAUGUCAAGAGCCAUUUGACAGAGUUCCUCUGCUUCAUUAAACUGCAAAGUUUGAACAUUAGCUUCAGCCGGAUACCGACAAGUUUCGCCAUGUCUUGGACGGGCUGCCUCUUAGUUUGAACGGUAAUCCACUCGAGGAAAUAUCAGAUGAUUUUACAGGAGAUAGAGUUGCACCAGAUGCAGCUACCCCUUGCUGUUGUUGAAUACCAAGUGGAUUUCCCCAAAAUACAGCGCUGUGGACACUGGUACAUGCUGUAAAUGAAAUUCUUUCUGCUGCUGGGAUCAAUACGGACGCUGAGAAGCAGGCUCUACUUCAAAAAACGGUAGAUUUGCAAGAAAAUCACAUUGUAAUGUA